CCAAAGGCUCUUUUCAGGGCCACUUAACCCCGUUAGUGAAAUAAGCU
rfam:Homo sapiens chromosome 1, GRCh38 reference primary assembly.